rnacentral:rRNA from 1 species
AGUGAACGCUGGCGGUAGGCCUAACACAUGCAAGUCGAACGGCAGCACAGUAAGAGCUUGCUCUUACGGGUGGCGGGUGGCGGACGGGUGAGGAAUACAUCGGAAUCUACUUUUUCGUGGGGGAUAACGUAGGGAAACUUACGCUAAUACCGCAUACGACCUACGGGUGAAAGCAGGGGAUCUUCGCACCUUGCGCGAUUGAAUUAGCCGAUGUCGGAUUAGCUAGUUGGCGGGGUAAAGGCCCACCAAGGCGACGAUCCGUAGCUGGUGGGAGAGGAUGAUCAGCCACACUGGAACUGAGACACGGUCCAGACUCCUACGGGAGGCAGCAGUGGGGAACAUUGGACAAUGGGCGCAAGCAUGAUCCAGCCAUACCGCGUGGGUGAAGAAGGCCUUCGGGUUGUAAAGCCCUUUUGUUGGGAAAGAAAAGCAGCAGGUUAAUACCACGCUGUUCUGACGGUACCCAAAGAAUAAGCACCGGCUAACUUCGUG